rnacentral:rRNA from 1 species
GAAGGUGGGGAUGACGUCAAAUCAUCAUGCCCCUUAUGAUUUGGGCUACACACGUGCUACAAUGGACAAUACAAAGGGCAGCGAAACCGCGAGGUCAAGCAAAUCCCAUAAAGUUGUUCUCAGUUCGGAUUGUAGUCUGCAACUCGACUACAUGAAGCUGGAAUCGCUAGUAAUCGUAGAUCAGCAUGCUACGGUGAAUACGUUCCCGGGUCUUGUACACACCGCCCGUCACACCACGAGAGUUUGUAACACCCGAAGCCGGUGGAGUAACCUUUUAGGAGCUAGCCGUCGAAGGUGGGACAAAUGAUUGGGGUGAAGUCGUAACAAGGUAGCCGUAUCGGAAGGUGCGGCUGGAUCACCUCCUUU